UACGGAGGGGGCUAGCGUUGUUCGGAAUUACUGGGCGUAAAGCGCACGUAGGCGGCUUUGCAAGUUAGAGGUGAAAGCCCGGAGCUCAACUCCGGAAUUGCCUUUAAAACUGCAUCGCUAGAAUUGUGGAGAGGUGAGUGGAAUUCCGAGUGUAGAGGUGAAAUUCGUAGAUAUUCGGAAGAACACCAGUGGCGAAGGCGACUCACUGGACACAUAUUGACGCUGAGGUGCGAAAGCGUGGGGAGCAAACAGG
rnacentral:rRNA from 1 species